GCAGCUCCGUGGGUCGCCUUGGAGACAGCUGUCCUGCCAGGUUGAAAGAGGCCGUUUUUCCAUAACUUCCAGGAUUGGGGGCAGUUAACGGUGGCUGUGGCCAGCGAGGUGUCACCCAAAGCCCUGGAACAGAAAUCAGGUGUCAGGCAGCGUGAGCCACCACUGAAGCAAGGCGGGAAGAAUGACUAAAAGCCUAGCCGGGAUUUAAGGACGGCGACCAUGGCGGCAGCAUCAGAGGAUACAGAAUGCGCCUGGAGAAAGACCGUUGCAAGUUACAAAGUUGAUAGGAUCUCAGAAGCAAUCGUCUAUAUUCUCUUGGCAACUCAUGUCUGCUGUGUCCCUCCUAGUUUUGAGAAUCACCGUCUACUCGUCUAUGAGAGCCUCAGCAAGAAGAGGAUCGCUCUGCCAUUUCCACCUCUCAUCCCAGGCUGGCUCUUCCCAGGACCAGAUCUGUGUCUGAUUCACCUCUGUGUUCCCAGAAUUGAGUACCUGUUAAGUGCUGUU